rnacentral:rRNA from 1 species
AAGACUUGUGCCAGCCGCCGCGGUAACACCAGCGCCACAAGUGGCAAUCACUUUUAUUGGGCCUAAAGCGUCCGUAGCCGGUCUAGUAAAUUUCCUGUGAAAUCGUUAGGCUUAACUUAACGGUAUGCAGGAGAGACUACUAGACUUGGGACCGGGAGGCGUCAGAGGUAUUUCUGAGGGAGCGGUAAAAUGCUAUAAUCUCAGAAGGACCCCCUGUGGCGAAGGCGUCUGACGAGAACGGAUCCAACGGUGAGGGACGAAAGCUAGGGGAGCGAACCGGAUUAGAUACCCGAGUAGUCCUAGCUGUAAACACUGCGAACUAGGUGUUGCAUAUUCUUCGGGAAUGUGCAGUAUCGAAGCGAAGGUGCUAAGUUCGCCGCCUGGGAAGUAUGGUUGCAAGACUGAAACUUAAAGGAAUUGGCGGGGGAGCACUACAAGGGGUGCAGCGUGCGGUUUAAUCUAAUUCAACACAGAGAAUCUCACCAGAAGCGAUGGCAGGAUGAAGGUCAGGUUAAAGGCCUUACCUAACAGGCCAAGAGGUAGUGCAUGGCCGUCGUCAGCUCGUGCCGUAAGGUGUCCUGU